GAAAAAACGGCCGAAAUAAAUUGGGAAUCGCCGGAAUUCCUUGAGAAAGCGUAAUCUCAACCACCACAAAAUGAUUGCUACGAUACUAACCAGCUAAGGGCUGCUGUUGCGGUUUACUUAAACACGGUUAAACGCAUUCAAUCGCCGGUUUUUUGAACAACAUACAGAAUGUACAGCCUUGAUAAUGAUACACCGAUAGAGCUCAAAGAAAAUCCGUUCGCAAAGGAGAAAAUGCAGUCUAUAUUGUAGCCUGUACAUUGGUCGUCUGUAUGGAAAGCAUAUUACGGGAUUAUGCAGAUCAUCAAGGCACAAAACGUUGGUUUUAUGCCAACCUACCACACAGCCGUAGAUUUUCUGAACGACUCAAAAUUAUUCGAUCCGGAAAAGGUUGUCCGACCUCAUAAGUUCUAAGCACGUAUCGCCAAAUUCAUGCAGUUCAGUUUGAUUGCCAAUAUCUUGAUGAAGUACUAUUGUCGGAAUUUAUAUUUCUACCACUGUAUCGAUUGGUUGUAAUUAUUGCCGUAAACCCACUGCUCAAUGAAAUUUUCGUUCGCAUUUUAUUGAAAGGGUA